rnacentral:lncRNA from 1 species
UGGCACCAUCAUAGCUCACUGCAACCUCAAACUCCUGCCCUCAAGUGGUCCUAUCGUCUCACCUUCCCAAAAUGCUAAAAUUACAGACCCAGCAACUCUUCAACCCCCCUUUGGAAGUAGCAACUUAGCUGUACCUGACUGCCACUUUAAAACUACUAUUUUUGACAUUAGGAAUUGAAAAUAAUUGUGAAUGCACCCAUUCUUGGAAAACCAGGCAAGAGGUUUCCCUGGACCCUUGAAGCAUGAGAAGAGAUCUAUGAAAGGCUAAAUUACUGUUGCUAGCAAAGGAAGGCUCACAUGGGUGAAGCUGUGAUCAGAAGCAUAAGAUCCCUGGGCUGCACUAUGAAUGUAUAAUGUAUUUAUUAAUGUGGCUCAUGGUUAAAAACAACCACCAAACAAAACCUGACCAUGGAGUAACCAGCCAGAUGCUCAUCUGUUCACCCCUCUCCAAACCUGCGUCACGGCUUGUACAUGAAACAGAACCUAGGAAUCUCAACUAGAUCCAUUGUAAGUUCUUCAGUGAGACAGUAAAAGCAUGUUUUGUUGUCUUUGUUAGAACAAUAAAAACAAAAAAAGGGGCAGAAGAAAGAUGAUCAAGUAUGGGCUUACAUCCUUAAUUUAAUGAAAUCCUUCUGUUUCUUUCAAAAUACAUUCCCCCCACCAAGUUAAAAAUCUCAUAACUCUUUAUAAUUAAAAUAACAUUUUGGAAAGUU